UACUUUUCAAUUAGUAAAUUUAGUAUUAUUAAUUAAUUUUAUUUUUUACAUUUUUUAUCCUUAUUUUAAUUGAUCUAAGUAUAGAAUUUUAAUUUAUUAACCUGAGUAAUUAAAUUUCCAGUUGAAAGAGUUGAUAGAGUUGCAGCAUUUUUAGAGAAAUAUCAACCUUUCCUUAAUGUGCUAUUAAUUGUUGGCGACAUAGCUCAUGUAUUAAAGUCUUCUGUCACAGUUGACUCAGCAAGAAUGAAGACAUUGAUACACUUUUGCAUUAUG